UACGAGGGGUGCAAGCGUUGCUCGGAAUUAUUGGGCGUAAAGGGUAGGUAGGUGGUCUCAUUUGUCUGGGGUGAAAGCCUUGAGCUUAACUCAAGAAGUGCCCCGGAAACGGUGAGACUGGAGUCUUGGAGAGGGUCGUGGAAUUCCCGGUGUAGCGGUGAAAUGCGUAGAGAUCGGGAGGAAUACCUGUGGCGAAGGCGGCCUACUGGGCCGGACCUGACGCUGAGACGCGAAGGCGUGGGGAGCGAACGGG
rnacentral:rRNA from 1 species